AGCUGCUUACAAGAAGAAGGUUUGGGAAUCGCAUCCCGACUUGUUCCCAGUUCAUGACAAGUGCCGUGCUGAGUCCCAGUUCAAGUUGGUAAUUACGUUUUGCUUAUCAAUGAAUUAUGUGUAGACUAUUUGGAACAUCAAGCAUUUCUCCUUCAAUUUCGACUGAGAUAACUGUAAUCGUGCUGAUGUGGCUGCCACAUUGGACGCAUGUUACUCCACUGUAGUUUUACAUGGAGCUCUAGGAAUUUGAAAGAACAGCUGCAGCCUGCAAAACUUUUUUCGAGUUAUGGAAUCGACAACAAACGAGUUUUGUGCCUUGAGCGCACUAUCCUGUAGCGGCAACACAUUGUUGUUUACAGUAAUCAAUGAUGCAAGGACCUUGACCUAACGGUUUGCAUGUAUUGCAGGUUUCAGAGGCUUAUACUCACCUGCUAUCUGGUAAAAUUUUUGGUUCCUUUGUCGUAAUUUGUUACCGUAACUAGUUACAGUACUUAACUUAAGCAUGGUUUUACAAACUCUUAAAUGGAUUCUUGUAGCAUGUCAGGAUGAUUUGUUCCAUCUUUCAUACUGUUAGUCCUGGAUGACUUUGUGGCUUUAAGCAUCUCAUCAAUGCAUCUCUACAUUUUCGAUGAAAGAAUCAUCAAUCGUCAUCUCGUUCUUAAGAAUCGAAAAACAAGUGAAUCGGGAGCUUGAUCAUGUGGUUCAACCCUCUUAGGCUACAUCAAAGCUUGUACCUUUACUUAAUUUAACUACAUCAACAUCAUACCAAAACACAGUACGUAGUAACUUGGUUUAAAGCUCGAAUUCUCUGCAUUUUGCACAGGCGGACUUGGAACCGUUCAUGACUUUUCCGAUUCAGCAGCCAGAUACGCUAGAGUAGUCGUCAGAGCAGGAGUGCCAAAGGGACCAACGGGAAGAAACGAACUCCGGAGGCUAUGGAUUCCGUUUCUAUUUCUUGUUGGGGGGACCAUUGGACUAGGAGGUUUCAUCGGCUCCAGGUUAUCGAUCUACUUCCGGCCUCAUGAAUCUGUCUGAUUAGAAAGAUUGAUCUUUGAUUCAAUGUCAUCCAAUCUGAU
rnacentral:lncRNA from 1 species